UGGGGAGCUGAACUCUUGGGGUCCUCUCACCAUGGCUUGGCCUCUUGUUUGUCUUUCACUGCUCACCUUCUGCUCAGGCUCCCUCUCCCAGCCUGUGGUGACUCAGGCUCCCUCUGUCUCUGCAUCCCCGGGGAGCACAGCCAGACUUGCCUGCACCCUGAGCAGUGAGCUCAGUGGUUAUGAUGCUCAUUGGUACCAGCAGAGCCCAGGAAAGGCCCCUCGGUUUAUCCUGUAUGUCGACAGUGAUGGAGAUAUAGGUAGUGCUAAUGGGCUCCCUGAGCGCUUCUCAGGCUCUGGCUCUGGGGCCAAUAGAUUUCUGUCCAUCAGCAACGUCCAGCCUGAGGAUGAAGCCGAUUAUUACUGUCAGGCAUAUUAUAUCACUGGUGAUGGUUAUGCUAAUACACAGUGA